rnacentral:lncRNA from 1 species
CCUCUUGGUCUGGCUUUCCCUUGACAUGAUCUUCUAUAAGAAAAGCUCCGUCAUUGGCGCUAUACAGGGGAUGAUCACUGGUCUCGUCUGCAUCACACCUGGUGCAGGUAAUUGCACGCCAAAUUAUAUCCUAUAUCAUCACGAAUAUUAAUAUUAAUAAGGAAAAUCUAAACUAGUAUCUACAGAUAGUUCAGGAUGCACUGCCAAAUUUUAUGCAUCAGAUUUAACAGAAUAAAACAAAAUUAAUAUUGUUCAUCCACAGGAAUUGUGCAAUCUUGGGCAGCUUUGAUCAUGGGAGCUAUGUCAGGGUCAAUACCUUGGUACACGAUGAUGGUUUUGCAUAAGAGAUCAGCAUUUUUCCAAAGUGUAGAUGACACGCUUGGAGUGUUCCACACCCACGCAGUCGCUGGUGUGCUGGGAGGAUUGCUC